rnacentral:RNase_P_RNA from 2 species
ACAGUCUAAAGGCCACGUUGCUCGUCACCCUCUGAGAUUCUACAUCUUAUACUUUGCGAGCGGGCUAAGGUCUGAGAAUUAUAUGUUCUCCUUGAUUUGUCCUAGCUGGACAGGACGAUAACAAGUCCAACGACGCAUCAGAAAAACAUCUGACGGUCUCUGGCUUUCGGGCUCCUGGUGAUCUCUUCGACAGAGUGAAGGCCCAGGACCGUUUGGAUCUGGAAAACGUCGAGAGAACUGGAUGGCUUUGAAGCGUUGCAUAGGCUCUGUGAUGGCAUCUAUCGCGUUCUACACUCGGCUCUUGGAAAACCAGUCCUAUUUUUACGACAGGUUCCUGGCUCGGACGAAUUGCAGAAGUAGACCGGGUUUGAAUGGAGGCUCUGCCUUGUCAUGUUCUUUAAAACAUGAUCGCUUCUACACCGAGCUACUUUGAUCAGCCGAUUUGAUUGGUAGCUCUAUCAUCUAUGAUAUGUGUGUGGGGCACAUGUUUCCCGCGCUGGGCCCAUAUGUGCUCUCGUUACCUACCGUACGCUUUGAGUGUACGCGGCCGAGAUUCCAUGUAGCGAUGGGGGUUUGCUUUAUACUGUCUUUCCUGCCGCAGGGGGGUGGUCGCAACUCGUCCGUAGACGUACGAGGAUGAGAUCCAUCUCAUAGAGAAGCCUUUCAACCAUCUGCCAUCCUUGAGUGCAAUUCGUGGCUCGUGCGAUGACGCUUCGAAAGAGGCUAGCACGAAACUCAAUUCAGACUACUCUUUGACUGU